UACCCAUAUCAGAUGGUUGCUGAACAUCAGCAAUGAUGUUUGGAGGAAAGUCCGAACACUCCCAAGCACCAGCAAUGGUGCUUGGAGUAGGGUAGCGGGUAACGCCCGUCGUCCAGCACCUAUUUUGUACAUGAGUAGUAUUAUGCAGAGAAAGUAAUAAUGCGUGAUGAAUUGUUUAGUCAUGAGUUUGUGUGCAAAAUAGGUGCUGGACAGAGGUGCGAGCAGAGACGCUUUGAACGAAAGAACAAAGCACCCCUCGUGGGUGAGUCCGCAUGGCAACAUGCGGGGUGAAACGGCUAAAUCCUUACCUGGGUGCAAGGCCGUACUGCGCGCAAGCGCAGGGUGCCGCUCGAGGGUGCGAGUAAUCGCACUCCCAGAUAAAUGACCAUCGUUGAAUAUCAGAAAUGGUAUUUGAUACAGAAUUCGGCUUAUCGAUAUGAGUAAACC
rnacentral:RNase_P_RNA from 3 species